rnacentral:lncRNA from 1 species
UAUCACAGUGACUCUCUAUUCCCUUUUGUGAAAAAGCUGUGAUGAUAAUCUGCCUCUGACCUAUGUUGCAGAAAUAUUCACAGAAUCAACAAAUGCUAGAACUGGAAGAGGCCUUCACCAAGGGAAAGACUCUGAAGUACUGUGAAGUGGGAUGCUACAUGAAUAUCAAAUGCCAAAUUUGAAUGAAAUUGCAAGACCCUAUCCCUGGAGGGUGAGACUAAAAAGAAUCUUAGCUGG